rnacentral:rRNA from 1 species
AAUGGUGAGAGGAAGGUCCAUUGGAUCUCCUGGGAUAAGAUGUGUGAGGCUAGGAAGGAGGGUGGUUUGGGGUUCAGGGAUCCUGAGGCCUUCAACCAGGCUCUGUUAGCCAAGCAGGCGUGGCGCCUUCUUCAACAACCAUCAUCUUUGUGUGCUCGAGUUCUCAAGACUCGCUAUUACCUGGACUGCUCUAUCAUGAAUGUGUGUCCUACAGCUGGUUCUUUCACAUUCAGAAGUAUCAUUCAUGACAGGGAGCUGUUGCGUGCCGGUUCUAUUUGGCGCAUUGGCGACGGAUCCGGGGUUAACAUUCACCAUAGUAACUGGAUAUUGUGGAUGGGGUGUAUGAGGCCACCGAGCCAGACUUUUAUUCCCGGAAUAACAAAAGUUGCGGAUUUGUUAACUCCUGAUGGUACGACCUAG